rnacentral:rRNA from 1 species
GACAGAGGGUGCAACGUUGUUCGGAAUUACUGGGCGUAAAGCGCACGUAGGCGGCGUCGUAAGUCAGGGUGAAAUCCCGGAGCUCAACUCCGGAACUGCCCUUGAAACUGCAAUGCUAGAAUCUUGGAGAGGCGAGUGGAAUUCCGAGUGUAGAGGUGAAAUUCGUAGAUAUUCGCAAAGAACACCAGUGGCGAAGGCGGCUCACUGGCCCGAUACUGACGCUGAGGCACGGAAAGCGAUGGGGA